GAAACAGCUAUGRCCAUGAUUACGCCAAGCUAUUUAGGUGACACUAUAGAAUACUCAAGCUAUGCAUCCAACGCGUUGGGAGCUCUCCCAUAUGGUCGACCUGCAGGCGGCCGCGAAUUCACUAGUGAUUAGAGUUUGAUCCUGGCUCAGGAUAAACGCUGGCGGCGUGCAUAAAACAUGCAAGUCGAACGGGCAGCCGCGAGGCUGUCAGUGGCGGACGGCUGAGUAACACGUAAGUGACCUGCCCUUCAGUGGGGAAUAACUGCUCGAAAGAGUGGCUAAUACCGCAUAUGCUCGGUUCUUCGGUGGAUCGAGUAAAGCCGAAAGGCGCUGGAGGAGGGGCUUGCGGCCGAUUAGCUAGUUGGAGGGGUAACGGCCCACCAAGGCGAUGAUCGGUAGCUGGUCUGAGAGGAUGAUCAGCCAGACUGGGACUGCGAAACGGCCCAGACUCCUACGGGAGGCAGCAGUUAGGAAUUUUGCGCAAUGGCCGAAAGGCUGACGCAGCAACGCCGCGUGGAGGACGAAGGUCUUCGGAUCGUAAACUCCUUUGCACGGGAAGAKAAUGACGGUACCGUKCGAAUWAGCCCCC
rnacentral:rRNA from 1 species